rnacentral:misc_RNA from 1 species
GAUGAAGAACGCAGCGAAAUGCGAUAAGUAAUGUGAAUUGCAGAUUUCAGUGAAUCAUCGAAUCUUUGAACGCACCUUGCGCCUUGUGGUAUUCCACAAGGCAUGCCCGUUUGAGUAUCAUUAAAUCAUCAACUCUAAAACCUUUGUGGUUUUUUUAGAGCUUGGUCUUGAGGGUUUUGCAGGCUUUUUUUUUUUCGAGUCUGCUCCCUUUAAAUGCAUUAGCGAGACUUCCCUAUGCUGAACCGUCUCUUUGACGUGAUAAUUAUCUGCGUCGAAUUUUGGUUCUCGUUGGGCUUGCUUCUAAUCGUCUGCUAAAGACAAAACGGAUUUGGGUGCAUAUAUGCGCCUUUUUCCAAAACCUUUUUUGAUCUCAAAUCGGGUAGGACUACCCGCUGAACUUAAGCAUAUCAAUAAGCGGAGGA